AGAAACACCGGUUCCCAUAUAAUCACCAAAGUUAAGCAAUGUUGAGCCUGGUCAGUACCUAGAUGGGUGGCCAUUUGGGAAUGCCAGGUGCUGUAAG